rnacentral:misc_RNA from 1 species
GAUGAAGAAGGUAGCGAAAUGCGAUAAGUCAUGUGAAUUGCAGAAUUCAGUGAAUCAUCGAAUCUUUGAACGCACAUUGCGCCCCUUGGUAUUCCGAGGGGCAUGCCUGUUCGAGCGUCAUUUCAACCCUCAAGCACAGCUUGGUCUUGGGCUUCGCCGCUAACCCGGCGGGUCUUAAAAUCAGUGGCGGUGCCGUCGGGCCCUGAGCGCAGUAAUCUCUCUCGCUAUAGGGUCCCGGCGGAUGCUGGCCAGUAACCCCCAAUUUUCUAUGGUUGACCUCGGAUCAGGUAGGGAUACCCGCUGAACUUAAGCAUAUCAAUAAGCGGAGGA